AUCCAAUGCUGUGGUGGUGAUUGGGAAGACAUCAUAUCCCUUACGUGUGCGUACCCCUGAUAUGACUGGCUACUAUAAAUAUGUGUCUAGGGCUGGAGUCAUUAAUACAGAGAACAUUAAUGCUGAUAAUGCCAUAGAACCUCAUUAUGGAUGGAAAAGAAACAGGCAUCAGCCCCUGGAGAGAGGAGAACUGUAACGGUCCUGUCUGCCCCCUUGUGUUCGCCUGCCAGCUUUCCCCGUGUUUUCACCCCAUGGACUCAUAUUCACUGAGCCUUUAACAGUCACGGACUACACCCCCCCAUAAUCCUUUGCACCAGUUCAUCACCAUCUUUGAUUACACCCGCAACUGAGACUGAUGAUUGCACCCACAAAUGAUCGUCAUUCCAUGGACUCUUUAUAUUCCUUGUAUUUUGUUCUGUUCAGGGUCAGGUCUUAUUGUAUUAUGUUUGCGCUAGCGGCGACUUUGUACUUACCAGUUGUUUGUGGAGUUACUUA